rnacentral:lncRNA from 1 species
GAAGAGCGGCGCCACAUUCAAGAAGCAAGCAAGCUCGGAAUUAUUUACUGAAAAGAUGUUUUCUUUCAAAUCGAUGGUGAUUUAGAGGAUCAUUGAACAUUACCAGUCACAGUCCAUAACGUUUUGGAGAGACGGAUACCAUUGUCUUCAGCAGCUUUGAAACAUGACUAGGAAUUGGUGGUACAUGUAACAGCAAGGAUGUUGCAGAGAAUGACCUCGGGAUCUUUCUGAAGAAGAUGAACUAUGGCAGAAAACAGUGAGGAUGUUGCAGAGAAUGACCUUGGGAUCUUUGUGACGAAGGUGAACCCUGGCAGGUAACAGUGAGGAUAUUGCAGAGAAUGACUUCAGGGUCUUUUUGAAGAGGGUGAUCCUUGGCAGUUAUCAACGAGGAUGUUGCAGAGAAUGACCAUGGUAUCUUUGUGAAGAGGGCGAUGCCAGGCGGUCAAAUUCAGAGAGUGGGCGUCUACGUGAUGAAGAGAAUUGGAUCAAGAGUGUCAAGGAGAGCUGAGUCAUUACAAUUUCUAUUGUUGACCACUGACCGCUAGUGAUUUUAAGCGGAGACCAGUGGACCAGUGAAAUAAAGAAAAUAUGCAUAAGAAAUUCAGUGUCACCAAAGAUUGCAAAGACCAAUCACUUUGAGUCCUAUUGUUUAUAAUCUUGUUCUAAAAUUUUCAUAUAAUGAUAGUUUUAAAACCUUUAUUCAACCAAGUUGAACCAUGGAAAUAAGAGUAGCCUACUGGGCAGGAUUUCUUGAUUUUGUUGCUUGGCUUUUGCCAGCCUGUAACGUUUUAAUCUUGUAGCGAGGACACUUCCAUUAUGUUCUUUCUGUUGGUAACAUUUAGAUACUCUGCUGUAUUUCCACAGCUGAAUACCAGUAACUAUAAGUUGCAAACAGACAAAACAAAUGGGUAUGCCCAUGCAAACAGAAUUAUUAUGUUAUAGGCUGAUAAAUUCAAGCAAGGAAAUUGAGAAAUCCUGCUUGGUGAUCUUGCUUUGAUUGUAAUAUCAGAUGGAAAUUAAGGUCCUUGGCUGUGCCUUUCAAAUGUAUAUAUUUAUUUCAUGCGGUCCACCGGUCUCAAAGUAACUGAGUAUCCAAUUGAAUGGGCCCUCCUUUGCCGCUCAGCCCAAGUUUCAAUGGAAGCAAGCACAGGGUGCUAUUGGAGGAUUCAUCUGGCAGAAGUGGCCCGACAGGAAUCGUGGUAUAUGGAGCUACAGUAGAUCGUAAAGAAGUCAUCGCUAUGAUGGAGGAUGAACUCAACGUACUCAAGGAAAUGUCUAGAAAUAUGUCACUAGAACAAGUGCACUUACAAGGAAGAGAAUGCUAGAGGAGGGAGGAAUGGAUUCUGACCUUCCGGUUAUCUUGCCAAACAUAAAGGAUGAACUCUUUAACAGGAGCUAAGGAGACGGUUAAGGUG